UACGAGGGGGGCGAGCGUUGUUCGGAAUUAUUGGGCGUAAAGGGUGCGUAGGCGGUUUGGUAAGUCUUGUGUGAAAUCUACAGGCUCAACUUGUAGUCUGCACGAGAAACUGCCGGGCUUGAGUGUGGGAGAGGUGAGUGGAAUUCCUGGUGUAGCGGUGAAAUGCGUAGAUAUCAGGAGGAACACCUGUGGCGAAAGCGGCUCACUGGACACGUAUUGACGCUGAGGUGCGAAAGCGUGGGGAGCAAACAGG
rnacentral:rRNA from 1 species